UACAGAGGGUGCGAGCGUUGUCCGGAAUCACUGGGCGUAAAGGGCGCGUAGGCGGCCUGAUAAGUAGGGGUUGAAAUCUUGCGGCUCAACCGCAAGGCUGCCUUCUAAACUGUCAGGCUGGAGCACGGUAGAGGCAGAUGGAAUUCCCGGUGUAGCGGUGGAAUGCGUAGAGAUCGGGAAGAACACCAGUGGCGAAGGCGGUCUGCUGGGCAGUAGCUGACGCUGAGGCGCGACAGCGUGGGGAGCAAACAGG
rnacentral:rRNA from 1 species